GACGAACGCUGGCGGCGUGCCUAACACAUGCAAGUCGAACGAGGUCCAAGGGAGCUUGCUCCCUGAAGACCUAGUGGCGAACGGGUGAGUAACACGUGAGAAACCUGCCCUCGAGUGGGGAAUAACCCGGGGAAACCCGGGCUAAUACCGCAUACGCUCCUCUGGUCGCAUGGCCGGAGGAGGAAAGUUUUUCGCUCAAGGAGGGUCUCGCGGCCUAUCAGCUUGUUGGCGGGGUAACGGCCCACCAAGGCUACGACGGGUAGCUGGUUUGAGAGAACGAUCAGCCACACUGGGACUGAGACACGGCCCAGACUCCUACGGGAGGCAGCAGUGGGGAAUCUUGCGCAAUGGGCGAAAGCCUGACGCAGCAACGCCGCGUGCGGGAUGACGGCCUUCGUGUUGUAAACCGCUUUCAGCAGGGACGAAAAUGACGGUACCUGCAGAAGAAGCUCCGGCUAACUACGUGCCAGCCGCCGCAGUAA
rnacentral:rRNA from 1 species